CCAUAAACGUAAGGAAACGCUUUGCUACUUAGAACAUCCCCUCUCUUUCUCCUUUCACUCGGUGUGUGAAAUCUGAUUAUGGUGGCAAUUCUCUCUCCGACGACCCCCUCACAUGCACACACACACACACACACGCACCUUCUUUCCCGGCUCCAUCUUCGCUGCCUGUCUCUGACAGUUCACAAAUCAAGACGUAUCGCUCGCCGCGGGCGGCCUGGCAUGGAGAAUUUUAUUUAAUACCCACACUGUGCUGCCCAAUGAGCCCCUCCAUAAUGACACUUACCUUGAUUAAUAGAGCUCUUUAUAUGUAAAUAGGCACCGCAUCCAGUUCUCCAAUCGUGCCAACACAGCCCUUUCCUCUCAAAUAACAACCUCAGUCUCUGCUAAUGAAGGGAGAGGAGCGGGGAGGUGAGCGGAGGUUAACACCCCCCACCGAAGCCUCAGACACAUUGAGAUAUCAUGAGCUCCAGCUUGCAGGAGCCAGAUACACGCAGACUAAAUAAUUUCCAGACUAUUUAAUCCUACCUUUUUUGAUUGAAUUAUCAUCGAGUCGUUACUGUAAUUGCAUCAUUUAAAGGAAUGUUUCCCCAUCCUUAAUUCGCUCUGGUUAAACAGCAUAUGCUGGUGGAUUGUUGGGAUCAUUAUGAAGAUCGGUUUUCCUGUGUAAAGCGUGAAGAGUCACAUUCAUGAUUUUAGAGGCAGGUGUAUUGUUUUUUUUUUUUAAGUUUCGGUUUUCCUGUUAGUAAAGUCGUAGAAGUAGUCACUAUUCUAUGUAUUUAGUAGGCUAGGUGUAUUUGUUUUUUUUUUUAAGGUAAUAUUUUGAGUUGGCUACAAGUUUAAUCAACAACAUUUGUGGUUGAUUAUCACAAAAUUAUUAUUAUUAUUAUUUUUUUUAUUUCUUUAAAAAUAAAUAAAAAUGAAGGAAAAAUUGAGGAUACAGUAAGGGACUUAGACUCUUAUCUAAUCUAAUCUAAUCUAAUCUAAUCUAAAAAUUAAGGUUCUUUAUUUGCAUCCCUGAAUCUUU
rnacentral:lncRNA from 1 species